AAGUAUGAAGUAAACUUUACAUUUAGUUUCGACCUAAAAAUAUAGGGUUAAAUUGGCCCUCAUACUUA
rnacentral:tRNA from 1 species